rnacentral:rRNA from 1 species
UACGAGGGAUCCUAGCGUUGUUCGGAAUCAUUGGGCGGAAAGAGUUCGUAGGCGGCGCAGAAAGUAGGGUGUGAAAGCCCUCGGCUUAACCGAGGAAUUGCGCCCUAAACUACUGUGCUUGAGGAACCUAGAGGUGAGCAGAACAGAUGGUGGAGCGGUGAAAUGCGUUGAUAUCAUCUGGAAUACCGGAGGCGAAGGCGGCUCCCUGGGGGUUUUCUGACGCUGAGGAACGAAAGCCAGGGUAGCGAACGGG